rnacentral:rRNA from 1 species
AUUGAACGCUGGCGGCAGGCUUAACACAUGCAAGUCGAACGAGUGGCGGACGGGUGAGUAAUGUCUGGGAAACUGCCUGAUGGAGGGGGAUAACUACUGGAAACGGUAGCUAAUACCGCAUACCCUCAGAUGUGCCCAGAUGGGAUUAGCUAGUUGGUGGGGUAACGGCUCACCAAGGCGACGAUCCCUAGCUGGUCUGAGAGGAUGACCAGCGAAACUGGAACGUAGACACGGUCCAGACUCCUACGGGAGGCAGCAGGGGGGAAUAUUGCACAAUGGGCGCAAGCCUGACAGAGCCAUGCCUGGUGUAUGAAGAAGGCCUUCGGGUUGUAAAGCUCUUUCAGCGGGGAAGCGUUACCCGCACAAGAAGCACCGGCUAACUCCGUGCCAGCCACCGCGGUAAUUC